GUGAGUAACGCGUGGGUAAUCUACCCUUGAAUCCGGGAUAACGUUGCGAAAGCGACGCUAAUACCGAAUGACAUCAAAAAGGCCUUGGUUUUUUUGAUCAAAGGUGGCCUCUAUAUAUAAGCUACUGUUUGAGGAUGAGCCCGCGUACCAUUAGCUUGUUGGUGGGGUAAUGGCCCACCAAGGCGACGAUGGUUAGCUGGUCUGAGAGGAUGAUCAGCCACACUGGAACUGACACACGGUCCAGACUCC
rnacentral:rRNA from 1 species